CAUCUUCGCUGUGCACGCCGCCGCCAUCCUCACCCUCAUGGAGCAUGAGAAGCCGCCAAAACCUACCAGAGGGAAACGCCUAGGUGAGGCUCCUCUACCACAUCCUAUGCGCGUGUCUCUUCAUGGGGCUCACACCUCAAGCUCGGGAAGGAGGAAUACAACUGUGCCUUGCUAGGUAAUAAUAUGUUCCCUGUGAUUUAGGAGGCAAAGGGAUCGGUAUACACCAGUUUGUCCACAUCAUUUAUAUAUCCAGCGCUGUUUGAGGCAAAGCAGCAGAUUAUUU